AGUUUCAAAUGUAUUUAUAUAAUCUUUAUUACAAGAAGAUAAAAUAGAGAUGAAUACACUUCACUGUCUUCUAGAGGCAGAGAAAUGUCCAUGAUUUAUUAAAAUAUAAGAAGUUCCAUUUUUAAUCAUAUGAGAUUCAAAUUCUUGCUAUGAAAACAGUUACACAAGCUGUUUAUUACAAAUACAGUAGUUUCAUUUUUUUAAAAAUUUCCUUCUCCGUACACUCUAGAGGAUGAUUAAAAAGAGAUGGUAUGUGUGUGUUUGUAUGAAUGCACAUACUAGCAUACAAAAAAUGAAUAUAAAUCUAAAAUAUGUAUGGGCACAGCAACAUUGUUUGAACUUUCUGGAUAAACUAGGUAGAGAUGGAUUACUAUCCUGUUUUUCUUCUUUUCUUGUCUCAAAUUUCACACCUUGAGACGUUGCCUUCAGUGCAGUUUUAUGAAAUAUGAAUUAUCUUGGUCAGAUCUUAAGGCAGACUUACCAAAAGAAGCAGAAUAGCACCAGAAAUACCAGACACUUAACAAACUGUAGCAAAGAGAAGAGCCGCCUUCCCACAAGCAGGAGCUAGUUGAGCAUCUGAGCCAGGAAAAAGGUAUGGAGUUCAGAAAAGCUGCAGUUGGAAACAGUCAAGCACAUAAUAUGAUGCCCAGUCCCUGUGCCUCCAGGGACCAAAAAAAAUUGUAUAUUUACUUCUGCAAUUCUGGGCACCCUACAUUUUAAUAAAGUGAUGUCACAAUCAGUCAUUCAAUCUCAUGGUCCAAAGUUAUUUUUUCUUAUAAUAAGAAAAUAAUCCAAUGACUCCACUUUCUCCUGACCAGAGGAAAAGGA
rnacentral:lncRNA from 1 species